UCUCUUUUGGGUCUUAUAAUUGGAAUGAGUACAAUUUAAAUCCCUUAACGAGGAACAAUUAGAGGGCAAGUCUGGUGCCAGCAGCCGCGGUAAUUCCAGCUCUAAUAGCGUAUAUUAAAGUUGUUGUGGUUAAAAAGCUCGUAGUUGAACCUUGGGCCUGGCUGGCCGGUCCGCCUCACCGCGUGCACUGGUCCGGCCGGGCCUUUCCCUCCGCGGAACCCCAUGCCCUUCGCUGGGCGUGGCGGGGAAACGGGACUUUUACUUUGAAAAAAUUAGAGUGCUCAAGGCAGGCAUAUGCUCGAAUACAUUAGCAUGGAAUAAUGAAAUAGGACGCG
rnacentral:ncRNA from 1 species